CAAAUACUCCCUCCGUCCGGAAAUACUUGUCAUGAAAAUGGAUAAAAGGAAAUGUAUCUAGACGUAUUUUAGUUUUAGAUACAUCUCUUUUUAUCCAUUUUGAUGACAAGUAUUUUCGGACGGAGGGAGUAGAAA
rnacentral:pre_miRNA from 1 species